UUCAUCAUUAAAACCCUGAGUUUCUGCAUCAUAACUAAUUCGAAAUCAUUUUUUUCUCCAUGAAAACUCUUCACAUGUUUCCAUCGAUAAAGAUUUGAAUCGACAACUCCGGUUGCAAUCAGAAAUUACCGCUGGUAAAAAAAGAGCAGGAUCAAUUGAUUUUAAAUCAGGUGUUUUAUGACCUUGUAGAUUUAAAUCAAGUCUUUUAAUAUGAGUUGAUGCAUCUUUUAGAUCUAAUGAUUAAACUACUGAACAAGAUGGUGAAGGAGGAGAAAUUAGUAGUCUUACUGAUCAAAAUCUAAGAAAUGGUGGUGAAAAGGAUUUUGGAUAAACAACUCCAACAACUUUCUACGGACUUUGGUCAGCCUUCUGACUUGGAUUAAGAUGAAGAUCGCAUAUAGUUAGUACCAAAUAUACUUAAUCAGGCUAACGAAGGACCAUGAAAGCGCAAGAAUCACCAAUAUGAGCUUUCAAUUACAAGAUUUAUUUUCAUUUGUAUCUUGUGCGCUUAAAAAAGUUAACCAACUAUAAUA